UAAUUGUAAACAAAACCUAAAAUGGAUGGCAAUUGUUUAGAAAGUAAAGUACAAAAUGUAAUUCCCUCUACUUUUGGAUUUAUUAAUAUUCAUACUAUGUCUGCAUAUCAUUUCACAGAUUCUAUCCUAAAACUUCCUCCUCAGAUUUCUGAAGUUUUCUAUGAAGUCCUAAGUAAAACUUUAAGGAUGUACGGGACUGACGAUUUUGAAAUUACCGCGCAACUCCGAAUGACGUAAAUAAAUCCUAUGUCGUUCGCAUCUCCUAUUUGAUUCUGAGUGUAUGUUAGAUAAUAUCUACAAUGCAAUUAAUUCUAUAGAUAUAUUUUACAUAAACUAUGACAAAAAUAUUAUUAUAUUCGAAAUAAAAACAAAUCGCGUAAAUUUUACGACUUUAAUUACUUUUCGGCAAUGUAAACAUAGUGAGACUUUUGAAACAUUGAAAUGCGGGGGAAACGCGGAUUUCUGUCAGCUAAAGCGAUCCAGCGUUACAUCAAGGUUUUUUGACCCACAGAAGACGAUGGAAAGCUGCCUCACCAAGACACCAGAUCAUCUAUAUUUGCAAUCGCAGACGCAAGACAUGUGUUCAGGUUUUGAAUAUAAUGUCUCCAGUAUGGAUAUGUUUGACGAUUGUUACCAUGGAAACGAACUCACAGACCAACAUGUAUGUCAAAACAGGUUUUGAACAUGAUGUCUCCAGCAAGGAUAUGUUUGAUGAUGGUUACCAUGGAAACGAACUCACAGACCUAUGUCAAAAAUGUCAUUUUCUGAUAGAAUAGACAUAAUGCUAUCCAUUUCACUUAAUUUUAGAAUUUUUUAAUUAUUCUGAUGUCAGCCAUACACUUCCGGGUUCUCUACAGGUUUUAAAUAUGAUGUCUCCAGCAAGGAUAUGUUUGAUGAUGGUUACCAUGGUAACGAUCUCACAGACCUAUGUCAAAAAUGUCUUUUUCUGAUAGAAUAGACAUAAUGCUAUCUAUUUCACUCAAUUUUAGAAUUUUUUAAUUAUUCUGAUGUCAGCCAUACACUUCCGGGUUCUCUACAGGUUUUAAAUAUGAUGUCUCCAGCAAGGAUAUGUUUGAUGAUGGUUACCAUGGUAACGAUCUCACAGACCUAUGUCAAAAAUGUCAUUUUCUGAUAGAAUAGACAUAAUGCUAUCCAUUUCACUCAAUUUUAGAAUUUUUUAAUUAUUCUCAUGUCAGUCAUACCUUUCCAUUUUUUGUUUACAGGUUUUGAACAUGAUGUCUCCAGCAAGGAUAUGUUUGAUGACGGUUACCAUGGAAACGAACUCACGGACCUAUAUCAAAAAUGUCAUUUUCUGAUAGAAUAAAUAUAAUGCUAUCCAUUUCA